AUGGCUCAGGACGAACGCUGGCGGCGUGCUUCAUACAUGCAAGUCGAACGAUAAGGCACCUUCGGGUGUACAUAAGUGGCGGACGGGUGAGUAAAAUGUAGAGAAUCUACCCUAGAGAGGGGGGACAACAGAGGGAAACUUCUGCUAAUACCCCAUAUGAGCGUAGCUGAGAUGCUAUUCUUGAAGACUCCGGUGCUCUGGGAUGAGUCUGCAUCUGAUUAGCUAGUUGGGGGUGUAAUGGACCACCAAGGCGACGAUCAGUAGCUGGUUUGAGAGGAUGAUCAGCCACAAUGGGACUGAGACACGGCCCAUACUCCUACGGGAGGCAGCAGUAGGGAAUUUUGCGCAAUGGGCGAAAGCCUGACGCCAGCAACGCCGCGUGAUCGAGACGCUUUUCGGGGUGUAAAGAUCUGUCAGUAGGGACGAACAAUGACGGUACCUACAGAGGAAGCACCGGCUAACUCCGUGCCAGCCGCAGC
rnacentral:rRNA from 1 species